rnacentral:rRNA from 1 species
UACGUAGGGUGCGAGCGUUAAUCGGAAUUACUGGGCGUAAAGUGUGCGCAGGCGGCAGAGCAAGUCGAGUGUGAAAGCCCCGGGCUUAACUUGGGAGGGUCACGCGAUACUGAUCGACUCGAAGGCAGGAGAGGGAAGUGGAAUUCCCGGUGUAGUGGUGAAAUGCGUAGAUAUCGGGAGGAACACCAGUGGCGAAAGCGGCUACCUGGCCCACUCUUGACGCUGAGGCGCGAAAGCUAGGGGAGCAAACGGG